GGAUGCGAUCAUACCAGCACUAAUGCACUGGAUCCCAUUAGAACUCCGAAGUUAAGCGUGCUUCGCGAGAGUAGUACUAGGAUGGGUGACCUCCUGGGAAGUCCUCGUGUUGCAUUCC
rnacentral:rRNA from 1 species